UUUAAGAAUACCUAAUGUGAG
rnacentral:piRNA from 1 species